rnacentral:tRNA from 1 species
GGCCCCUUAGCUCAGGUGGAUAGAGCCGGGUCCUUACUCAACCCUGGUCGCCGGUUCGAGUCCGGCAGGGGCCGCCA